AAUUACGUUUCUCUCAUCUCUACACCGGUAGGCGAUAGCGUCGCGGGCGGGGAAGUGAAAACUGAAAACUCGGAACUCGAAAAUCUCGGAAUCCUUUUUACAGCGGCGGCGAUGAGCUCCGCCGCCAGCGCCGCCCCCCGCCGGAGAUCGUUGCGGUGGCUCCCGCCGACCGAAACCCUAGACCUGGGCGGCGGCCUCUCCCUCUCCCCUCGUCUGAGGCUCCUUCUCACCUUCUUCCGCGCCGACCUAUCCGUCGCCCCACUCGACGAGUGGAAGCUCAAGCUCGCCCUCCUCCGCUCCCCCUCCCUCCCCACCCUCUCCGACGAUGAUCUCCUCCUCCGCCGCGCCCCCGACCCCCACAAGCUCCGCCGCGGCGACCCCGUCGCCUUCGGCACCCUCUACGUCCGCGACCUCGCCUUCCUCCGCCGAUCCAGCGAUGUCGACGGUGACGAGGAGGACGAAGAGGCGAUUCGGAAGAGGUUCUUGGAGUGGAGGAGCUCCGUGGUGGAGAGAUUGGGCGGGAUCGAGCUGAACCUGGAGGGCUUGAGGUUCCGGAUGGAGGUGGAGAUCCCUCCCUCCGACGAUUUCGAGCGGAUGAAGAGGUCGUGGGAGGAUUGCUACGCCUCGCAGCUGCUCGAUGGCCGGAGCUCGGUAAGGCGCGUUCCUCGGCGGCCGGAUACGAUAAUUGUGCAGGGCGUGCCCUCGCGGUGGUUCGCGGAGCCGCGAGUGUCGUCCAAGGCUUCGAUGCUUGUUACACAUACCAUCUUUUCGGUAUUGGGGAAGAUAAGGAAUCUCAAUGUUGCCGGCGAAGAUGAUUUAGGUAAGAACCAAGAUGAAACAACAGGGGAGAUGUUAUCUGGACUUAAUUGCAAGGUCUGGGUACAAUUCGAGAACUAUGAUGAGUUCUAUAAUGCAAUGAAGGUGCUAUGCGGACGAUCACUGCAGAAGCAAGGAUCACGAUUAAAGGUAGACUAUGAAGUGACAUGGGACCGAGAUGAUUUCUUCCGAACUGUUCCACAAAAGCCCACUAUAAAUCAUGGACAAGAAAGGGGUGGCUCAGUACAGCUGGUGAGAGGACGUAUUAGAGAUGAAGCUAUUGAACAUCGGUCACAGCUUACACAUUUUGACUCGGAUGGUUCACGUAGGAAAAGAUUCAGAGAGGCUGAAAUAAGCUUUUGAAACCCAAGAUUGGACGCUCCAAUUUGAAACUUUUGCUUCUGCUGCAAGGAGAGCUAUUGGAGAAGGACUGAGGGGCAUUGCACAAAAUUGUUAGGCACGUGCCCAAGUCGGCUUGCAAAGACCAAAUACGGAAACAUGAGAGACUCCGCCAUCUCAAGACAGAAAGAUGUUGUAUCAUCUAGCCAGUUUGUGGCCUUUAAAUUACAUAAAAAGCCUUUAAAUUACAUAAAAAGUUUUUGUGAUACCGUGCCAUGUUGGAUCAGAUUCAACCUGCGAAUUUUUCAGUUACUAGAAUCUUAAUAGCUCAAUGGUGAUAAAAAAUUUGCAAGUUUGGGUGAUGAUUUGUUCAAGUUCGUUCUCUAAUUUGCUUACAACCGGUCCCGUGAAAUGUUUCUUAUGUUUUAGUAUUGUAAAUUACAUCUAACGGUUUAUAUUUUCGUUUGAACGCCUUUAUAAUUGAGUUUCAGAGAUUUCGGCC